AAUGUCAGAACUGUUUGAAACAUGGCGGGAGUCACCGUGUCAUAUGUUCUUAAAUUUGGUUUUUAAUAAUGUGUCAGAAUCAGGAACUUCAUGAAGAUAGGCAAAGAAUGUGGGGAAACAUAUCGGAACGACUGCAUCAAAUUUUAUUAGACAUCUAACAACACAUCCGAGGUAUUUCUCUGCAUGUCUAUCUGGUGCUUUCAACGUCUAUCUGGUGUCACCUCAGUGCCGUCUAGUGGCUGCUGGUCAAAAUGUCUCAGAUGUUUUCAAGUGCUGUUUUUAUUCGGGAUGGAAAGUCUCAAGAUGACAAGAAGUAUAAGAGAAGUCUCACCAGGCAGAGGUCUCUCAUUUUCGGACCUGAUAAUCCCACCCACUUUGAAGCGGUACUAAACUGCAAUGGAAAAGCAAACCGAGCCAAAGUAAAGUGAGCCAAGCUGUGCUGAGCCGAGUCGUACCACUCAAGGAAAAGCACAGCAGACGUCUGCAGUAAUACUGUUCUCCAAUGGAGCCUGGACCCCAAGGACACGCUGGAGAGCAAGGUGCGCCUAUAGGGAGGGAUUUUGGGUAAUCCACCGUCACUUUCCAGCUUCCUCCCACUGUCA